CUACUGUAUCAAAUGGUAAAGUUUACUUAUGGUGUUGGUUUGCAACAAUACCUUUGACUGAUCGACUUUCUGACUGACUGACGGACUAAGUGUAUUCAUCCAACUCACUUAGUGGGCCGGUUAUUUAAACGGAGUCUAAGUUAUACAAUUUUUAAGGCAAACACGCGGUUUAAAGGUUGUUUCAAUAGACAACGGUUAAAACAUGUUUGAAUUACUUAUUAACACGUGGCUGAUCCAUGUUUUUUGCAGUUAGGGGCGGGGCAAUGCAUGGUCUUUUGAGUGAUUUGCAUGUGCAUUUUGAAGGUUUUACCCAAAAUGGCCUCAAAAUCCGGCCAAACAGCAAAUUUUAGCGCAGAAGAAUUGCUGGUGGAAUCGCGAGGGUUAUUCUCAGGUAUAGAAAGUAAAGCAUAUGACAAUAAGAGAUUGACGAAAAAGGCAAAAGUGAGAAAGGAAAUUGAGAACACCAACCUCCGAGUAGGUCUUAGUCGCUACUGUUCUUUAACUUAAGCGGUGGUUAAACAUGGUUUGAACAAGGUUGUGGACAAUCAGAGUUUAAAUAAUUGGUUUCCUUAGUUUGAACAAGGGUUAGACGGUGACUUUCAUAACGCUGUAUAAACUUCGUUUGAAUAAUAGGCCUCUUAUGUUUAAGAUUUAUGGCAUCCCAUGAUCAAAGUCGUUGUUGUCCGGCAUUCCAAACUUCCUGAAAUAGAUAGCAGAGGAGCUUACAACUAAAUACUUAUCUCUUAAUGUUUCCACCUCAGGUCUUUACUACGUGCACAACUUGUCAGAUAAAGAGAGAGCGGAGAAAAAACUUUCAGACUGUGAUACAUUUUUGGACCCAGAUGACCUCCCGAGAAAAAGGCAACUGGGUCGGACUUCAGACUCUACAGUCAGCGAGAAGAUCAAAAGGACAGAUGAUCAUCACCUUAGAGGUCUCCUCGCCCUCAAACAUUCAAAUCUUGUUACCAUAUGGAGAAUAGACGGUUUGGAUUCACGCUUUCCAAUGGCAGAUGUCAUCUCCGAAGAGGCUCCUCUCGGUAAUUUGAACAACUAUGUUCUU
rnacentral:misc_RNA from 1 species